rnacentral:rRNA from 1 species
GAUGAACGCUGGCGGCGUGCUUAACACAUGCAAGUCGAGCGGGCAAUUUAUCUAGCACUGAUUACUUCAAAUGGCUAUCGCCAGUGUAAUCAUGAAUUUCUACCUUAUUAAUAAAGAAAAAGAAAUUCAUGUACGCAAAUAGUGAUAACACAUUUUAGUGAAGUGAUGAGUGCUGGAUAAAUUGCUAGCGGCGGACGGGUGCGUAACACGUGGGUAACCUGCCCCUAUCACUGGGAUAACACACUGAAAAGUGUGCUAAUACCAGAUAACAUAAGCUUUUGGCAUCAUUAGCUUAUCAAAGAAUUUCGGAUAGGGAUGGGCCCGCGUCUGAUUAGCUAGUUGGUGAGGUAACGGCUCACCAAGGCAACGAUCAGUAGCCGACCUGAGAGGGUGAUCGGCCACACUGGAACUGAGACACGGUCCAGACUCCUACGGGAGGCAGCAGUGGGGAAUAUUGCACAAUGGGCGAAA